UUUUUUUUUUUUUUUUUUUUUGUCUUUUUAAAUUUAUAAAUUUAUAAACAUAUAGCAACAACGUUUAACCACCUAACAGCGAUUUUAAUAUUUUCGAGUAUAGUAAAUUUUUAUAACUUUGUAUGAACGGCACGAACUUAUAGAUAUACAAUUGCACAAACAUACAGACAUACGAAUGUAAAAACUAUGAGCAAAUUAAAUGAUGGAAAAAAAAACAGCUGCGUUAUCAAACAAUCGAGUGUAUUAUAAAGAAAAAGAAACUGCUUUAACAAAAUUAAAAAGUAUUUUGUUAGAGUUAAAUAUAUUAAUUGAUCGGACUAAACUUAUAAAUUGUAUGGAUGAUGAUUUUGUUUUUAGUUUAAUUAAUAACGUGAAUGAUGGGAUUGUUAAAAAAAUACAUGAUUUAUUAAUAGAUAAAAAAAGUAAUGUCAUACCGGAAGACGAAUUAAAAGAUUUCGUAUUUUUAUUAAUGUAUGACAGACAAAACAAAUGUGAAUAUAAUUCAGUUGUCAGCAGAAAUGACAUACCUGACCCCAAUAGAUUAAACAUUUACAACGAUACUGCUACUGAUAGUAUUACCACAGAUAACACUGCCACCACUACUACAAAUGGUGCUGUUAGCUGUGUCUAUACAAAGAAUGAUGACGACGACUGUCCAAUCAAAAAUGAAGUCACAAACAUUAUUAACAAAAUAAACAAAUUUUAUUAUUAUAUAAAAUUUUUUAAAUUUGAAAAAAAAAGUAAUCAAACAAACGAAUAUCAUACUAAUUUUGAGAAAUCAAUUCGUACCAUACUGGAUAAUACCAUCAAAAUCCAAAUAAAUGAAAACAAAAAAAGCAAUUUAAAAAAAUCUAAUACAUAUACCAAUUAUUUUAGUGAUAAUAAACAAUAUUUUGAUAAAAAUAGCAGUUUAACAGUUAAUAAAAUAAACAGCACUUCUUAUACUCAUAUGGACGAUAAAAAGGAGUUUUCUAAUAAUUUGAAUGACAAUACACAUAAUGAUAUUAUAGAAACUAAAUGUUCAGCUAGCCAAAACGAUACAUAUAAUACAUCAGUAAAUUUGUUUGAUAAUUUAUCAGAUUCUAAGAAUAUAAAUCAAAAAUGUAUGAUAGAAAAUUCGGGAAGUAACGUCGUUAGUCAGUUGCAUAAUCAGAUGGAACAUACAACAGCAGAAUAUAUUAACAAAUAUAUAGGAAUAGAUAUAAAAAGAAGUGAAAAUAAUUAUACUCAUGAUUACUUUCAACCAAGUACAAUUGAUAAAAAAAAAACGAAAUCUUUUUAUAAUUAUAAUGAAAGCGAUAAAGGUAGCGACGAUGGUAAUAACUAUAAGAAAGAUGAGAACAGCGAUAUGGAUAUAAAAAUUUCUGAUAGUUAUUUUAAUGAAAACCAAUCGUUUAUUAAUCCAGGCUUUUCUACUGUAGAAAGUUAUACAUCCUUAUUAACUAGCAAUGGAUCAGAAAUACAAUCAAAAAAUACUUUUAUUUUAACUAAAAAUAAACAAAAUUGCGAUUUGUUAGUUAUGGAUACUGAUGACAUCCAAAACAAUAGUCAAUUGAAUUAUGAUUCGAACAAUUAUAAAAAAGAGGAAAAAAUAAAUGAACAAGAAAUAGGAACAUAUUACAAAAAAAGUAGUAGUGAUAGUUUUAUUCGUGGAUAUGUAGAUAAUAAGACUGUCACAAAUGAAUCUGCUGUAUAUAUGAAUAAUAACAACCACAGCUGUGGCUACGAAAACUACGAAGAUGAUGAUGACCAUGUAAACAAUGUCAAUCAUAGUGAAGAUCAAAAAAAAAAUGAAAAAAAAAUGAAUCACAACAGUAUGAACGAUUCAGGUAAUUCUGAACAGAAUUCUUUUAUAAAAUAUAUUGAACAUUUUAACCUAUCACAAAGAGUAUUAAAUGGUGUAGAUAAAGGCUUGUCUGAUGAUGUAUACCAUGACAAACCUAAAGACAUAAAUGAUGAAAGACACACUUUGACAUAUAAACAGAAUUUGAACAAUUUAACAAAUACUGAUAAAAUUUUUAUUAAUAAUUCAAUGAAUGAUUAUGAAAAAUAUUCUGAACGGUCAGCUAAAAAUAAUAAUAAUUAUGUUACCAGUCAUAAUAAAUCAAUUGAUUACGAAAAAUAUAGUAAAGAGAAGGAACAAUGUAAAAUAUCUUUAAAUGAGCAAAGUGUUAUAAAUGAUAAAACUAGUAAGAUAAAUAAAGGCAAAUCGUUAAAUAUAAAAAAAGAAAUAAAUCAUAGUAACAUGAUGGAUAAUAAUAUGCACAAUAUGGAAAAAAUAAAUGACAAUUAUUACAAACGCGACCAUAUGCACGAGUAUAAUAAUUAUGACUAUGGUACAUUCCAAGAUAAAAAAUUGCAAACUGAUAUGGAUAAACAAAUAAAUAUGCACGAUACUAGUAUGAGCAUAUGUGAAAGCACCAACUAUUACAGUUACAAAAAUAAAAAUAUACUAGACCAAAGCAACAAUAACAGUUAUAAUACAAGUAAAAAUGACAUUCAUAAUUUAGAUACACAAAAGUAUGAACACGAUGAUAUGUAUAUCAAUACAAAUGAUCAGUUUAUUUCUGCAAAUCUUGGUAACAAAGUAAGACAAAGUUAUGGAGACUCUUCUAUGUUUAGUCAUAUGAACUUGUCUGACAAUGCAUACGUAUCAAACAAGACAGAUGCAUUAAGUAGAACUGACCAUCUUAUGUUUCAUAACAACCAAAGUGAUUCCAGUUAUAGCCAUAAUGGUUAUGAACCCAUACCAUGUGCAGGUGAUUCUCAUAAUUUUAGCAAAAGUGGUCAAAAACAAAUAUAUUCAGAUGCAAAACAAAAAGAGAGGGAAACAUAUAUAAACAAAAAAUCAAGCAUAAUAAAACUUGAUUUAUACUUAGAUCAAGAGAAAUACUACACUUCUUUUAAUAAAAUCGAAGAAAAUAUAAAUUUGAAUAAUAAGAAAAAUUAUAUAAACGCAAAUAGUACGACUGGCACCCAAUUGGAAAGAAAUGAUAACAAUAAUUACUUUUUUAGUUUGAAUAAACAAACGGGGGGAAAUGUUAACAUAUUUAAUAAUGGUGGUGGUGGUGGUAGUGAUGGUGAUGGUGGUGAUGGUGGUGGUGGUGGUAGUGAUGGUAGUGAUGGUGGUGGUGGUGGUAGUGGUGGUAGUGAUGGUGGUGAUGGUGAUGGUGAUGGUGAUGGUGAUGGUGGUAGUAAUAAUAAUAUUAACAAGUAUAGUAAAGAAAAUAUUACAGGUAGUAACAUACAAAAGACGAAUGUUCAAGAUACGCUUAUUAAACAUAUAAAUGACGAUUUUACAUUUUAUGAAAAUGUAGCUAAUACUAUCAACGACAACAAAAACAACAAAUCGGAUAGUCUUAUGAAUGAUAAUUUUUUGAAUAAAAAUAAUUUUUUUGUGUUGAAAAAAAAAAAAGAAAAAGAUAACAGGUUAAACAAAUGGCUAAACAAAAUA
rnacentral:lncRNA from 1 species